AAUUAUUUAUUUGAUGGUUUCUUACUACAUGGAUAACCGUAGUAAUUCUAGAGCUAAUACAUGCGUAAAGUCCCGACUCUCGCGGGGAGGGAUGUAUUUAUUAGAUUAAAAACCAAUGCGGCCUUUGGUCGGACUUGUGUUGAUUCAUAGUAACUUUUCGGAUCGCAGGGCUUCACGCCGGCGACAGUUCAUUCAAAUUUCUGCCCUAUCAGCUUUCGGCGGUAGUGUAGUGGACUACCGUGGCAUUUACGGGUGACGGAGAAUUAGGGUUCGAUUCCGGAGAGGGAGCCUGAGAAACGGCUACCACA
rnacentral:rRNA from 1 species